UGGGGGAUAUUGCACAAUGGGCGAAAGCCUGAUGCAGCGACGCGGCGUGGGGGAUGAAGGCUUUCGGGUUGUAAACCUCUUUCGCUAUCGAACAAGGCUCGCGUAGGGUGGGUCGAGGGUAGGUGGAGAAGAAGCGCCGGCGAACUACGUGCCAGCAGCCGCGGUAAUACGUAGGGCGCGAGCGUUGUCCGGAGUUAUUGGGCGUGAAGGGCUUGUAGGCGGCUUGUUGCGCCUGCUGUGAAAACGCGGGGCUUAACUUCGUGCUUGAAGUGGGGAAGGGCAGACUUGAAUGUUGUAGUGGUGACUGGAAUUCCUGGUGUAGCGGAGGAAUGCGCAGAAAUCUGGAGGAACAACGAUGGCGAAGGCAGGUCACUGGUCCAUUACUGCCGCUGAGGAGCGAAAGCAUGGGUAGCGAACAGG
rnacentral:rRNA from 1 species